CGCGGCCUAUCAGCUUGUUGGUGAGGUAAUGGCUCACCAAGGCGACGACGGGUAGCCGGCCUGAGAGGGCGACCGGCCACACUGGGACUGAGAUACGGCCCAGACUCCUACGGGAGGCAGCAGUGGGGAAUAUUGCACAAUGGGCGAAAGCCUGAUGCAGCGACGCCGCGUGAGGGAUGAAGGCCUUCGGGUUGUAAACCUCUUUCAGCAGGGAAGAAGCGAAAGUGACGGUACCUGCAGAAGAAGCGCCGGCUAACUACGUGCCAGCAGCCGCGGUAAUACGUAGGGUGCAAGCGUUGUCCGGAAUUAUUGGGCGUAAAGGGCUCGUAGGCGGUUUGUCGCGUCGGGAGUGAAAACUCAGGGCUUAACCCUGAGCCUGCUUCCGAUACGGGCAGACUAGAGGUAUGCAGGGGAGAAUGGAAUUCCUGGUGUAGCGGUGAAAUGCGCAGAUGUCAGGAGGAACACCGGUGGCGAAGGCGGUUCUCUGGGCAUUACCUGACGCUGAGGAGCGAAAGUGUGGGGAGCGAACAGGAUUAGAUACCCUGGUAGUCCACACCGUAAACGUUGGGCGCUAGGUGUGGGACUCAUUCCACGAGUUCCGUGCCGCAGCUAACGCAUUAAGCGCCCCGCCUGGGGAGUACGG
rnacentral:rRNA from 1 species